rnacentral:tRNA from 1 species
AGGGGUGUGGCUCAGCAGUAGAGCACUCGCCUAGUAAAUGCGAGGCCCUGGGUUCGAUCCUCAGCACCACAC